rnacentral:rRNA from 1 species
CCCUUAGAUGUCCUGGGCUGCACGCGCGCUACACUGAUGUGUCCAGUAAGCACCUAACCUCUUCCGAAAGGAACGGGUAACCUUUGCAAAGCACAUCGUGAUGGGGAUAGAUUAUUGCAAUUAUUAGUCUUGAACGAGGAAUUCCUAGUAAGCACAAGUCAUCAGCUUGUGUUGAUUACGUCCCUGCCCUUUGUACACACCGCCCGUCGCUCCUACCGAUUGAAUGUUCCGGUGCGCUCUUCGGACUGCGCGGUCUGCAGUUUCUGCGUUCCGUGCGGAAAGUUGCGCAAACCUUAACAUUUAGAGGAAGGAGAAGUCGUAACA